AUGUGCUCCUUCUGUACUAAUGUUGAAACGACGAAUCAUUUGUUCUUUACCUGCUCGCUUGCUCGUUCAGUGUGGGGGGUGCUGGGCAUGACGGCCAGGGCAUCCUGCUGUCCUCGUUCUCUUUGGCAAAGCUUUGCUUGGCUUUAUAAGUUUUUUCCAGGUGGGAAGCAUCUUUAUAUGAUGAUCAUUGCUGCAAUAUGUUGGGGGAUUUGGACUCUCCGCAAUAAAGUUACAUUUGAUAAACAUGUUGUUCGUUCUCCUCUGGAGUCUGUUUUCACUGCCUGCUCGUUUAUGUUGUAUUGGGCAGGUUUGCUAAAGGAAGAAGAAAAGGUGAAGCUCCAGGCUGGAGUGAAGAGGUUGGAUCACGCGGCUGCUGCGCUGGCGGAUAGAUCUUUUCCUAGAGGCAGACCUCUCUUAGGAGACAGAGAUGGAAUCCAGAUUGGUUAG
rnacentral:rRNA from 1 species